AAUUCUCAACCAUCCCUCGAUUUGUUUCGAGGUUUGGCUUGGAUUUUGGGAGCUGCCGGGCGACCCUACGGUCUUCGGCUCUCCUUAAAAGCAUUAGCGAUGGUGGAACGACCUAACUCCAUGCAUGAACGGCCUUCGACGUGAUAAUGAUCGUCGUGGCUGGAGUGCUAGCGGGCGUCGUGAAGCCAGCGCUUCUAAAUCUCUCGUCGAAAGACGAAACUCGAA
rnacentral:misc_RNA from 1 species